GCCAUUGAAUGUCUUCUUUAGAAAAAAUGUCCAUUUAGUUCCACUGCCCAUUUUUAAAUCAGGCUCCUUGAUAUUUGUUAUGAAGUUGCAAGCGCUCAUUAAAUACAUUAGAUCAUAACUUCUUAUCUGAUGAAUGGAUUGGAACUAUUUUCUCCCAUUCUGUAGGCUUCUUUUCAUUUUUUUUAAUUGUUUUUUGCUGUAUAGAAGCUUUUUACUUUAAUGUAUUCCCGCUUGUUGAUUUUUGUUUCUGUUGCUUGUGCUUGUGGUGUCAUAUCAAAAAAAUCAUUGCCAAGAUCAGUGUCAAGGAGCUUUGCCUCUAUUUUUUCUUCUAAGAGUUUUAUGAGUUUAGUUCUUAUGUUAAAAUCUUUAACUCAUUUCGGGUUAAGUUUUGUGAGCAGUGUAAGUAACGGGUCUGGAGUUUUCUCUGCUUUUGUGGCUAGAUCUGCUGCACUCUUCUUGCUCCCUCUUGUGGCUGAAAUCCUAAACUAUUCUGUGUUCUCUGGUUUUUGUCGCUCACCAGGCUGGCUACUGGAAAUCUCUUUUUUGUUUUCCAGAAGGUGGCACUACUGCUCACGUUUGUGGUUUCUCCCUUUUCCAUAGGCUGUUUCCUUUUUUUCUGAGAGCACUCAGUUUACCAGAUUUUCUCUCCCUGCUACAUUCAGGAAUGUACACAAGGAGCCAGCUGCAGAUGAGGAGGAGGUGUGGAUUUAACAAUGGGAGCUUGUUGGUUCGCAUGGAUCUGGAGGGGAGAUGCUCUGUUGUGAACUGGCUUUCCAUUUCAGGAAGACUGGGCUUCAACAAAGUCUCUCUCAUUCAUGGUUGUCAUCACACUCUCCAGGCGUUAUGUGGCCAUAAUCAAGAUGGUUUUAGGAAGGUUAUUGGCUCCUUCUGGUUCUGCAUCCCAUACAAAGAUCUGUCUGCCUAUUACUGGAUGCACAGAUGAUAUCAAGCAAGUCCAUGUAAGCAGAUAGAAAUCACUCAUCUGUGGUCAUGUUUGUUCUUCUGGGACUCUAAGAUGAAAAAGAGGUGCAGCUUGUCCUCUUCCCAAUCUUUCUAGGUAUCUAUCUUGUGACCCUAAUCUGGAAUCUGGGUGUCAUCAUCCUAAUCAAGAUGGACUCACACCUGCACGCACCUAUGUACAUUUUCUCAGUUUCCUGUCAUUUAUAG